rnacentral:rRNA from 1 species
CAGUAGCCGCGGUAAUACGAAGGGUGCAAGCGUUAAUCGGAAUUACUGGGCGUAAAGCGUUCGUAGGCGGUUUGUUAAGUCUGCUGUGAAAUCCCCGGGCUCAACCUGGGAAUGGCAGUGGAUACUGGCAAGCUAGAGUGUGUCAGAGGAUGGUGGAAUUCCCGGUGUAGCGGUGAAAUGCGUAGAGAUCGGGAGGAACAUCAGUGGCGAAGGCGGCCAUCUGGGACAACACUGACGCUGAGGCACGAAAGCGUGGGGAGCAAACAGGAUUAGAUACCCCGGUAGUCCCUGUCUCUUAUAC